rnacentral:lncRNA from 1 species
GAAGCAAAUUGGGCAGAUUGCGGAGUUUGUAGGACAAUUCAGAGAGCAAGGUAAGUUGCCUAGUUUGACCGUUGUCAACCUGAAGGGAGGAUUCGAAUAUGCAAAAGCCAUGAGUUUGCGAAGUGGAAAACAAGUUGGAUCUGAUCCCCAACCGUCCAAUUCACGUUCCAACGAGGUUGAAGAGUUGAUAAUUGAAGAGGAGGAGCAAAGCACCCCCACGGCAAGGGUGGAAACAUCUUUGCCGUAGGCCCCAAAAGCUCAUAAACCAUCCAAUUCGGCCAACAAAGGUAAGGAAGUUCCAAUUUUGAUUAAUUCUAACGUUGUUCCUCCAAAUGUACCAUUUCCUCGUAGGUUUAUGCAAUCAAAGAAGGAGGAGGUUGAAAAGGAUAUUUUGGAAACGUUUAGAAAAGUUCAAGUCAAUAUACCACUUUUGGAUGCAAUUAAGCAAGUUCCAAGGUCUGCCAAGUUUUUGAACGAACUUUGCACAACUAGGAAGAGAAUUUCAAGCAAGGAGGUUGUCAAGGUAAGUGAAAAUGUCUCAGCUGUUUUACAGCGUAAACUGCCCACUAAAUGCAAGGAUCCGGGUAGUUUUACCAUUCCUUGUGUAAUUGGGAAUACUCGUUUUGAAUCUGCCAUGUUAGACUUAGGUGCAUCUAUAAAUGUCAUGCCUUAUUCAAUCUAUGCAUCGAUGCACUUAAGCGAAUUGAAAAAGGAUGGUGUUAUUAUACAAUUGGCCGAUAGAUCUAAUGCCUAUUCAAAGGGAGUUUUGGAAAAUGUUUUAGUGUAGGUCAAUCACUUAAUCUUUCUGGCGGAUUUCUACGUGCUUGAAAUGGACGAGUCGGACCACUCCCCUACAUUACCCAUCCUCCUUGGACGACCAUUCAUGAAAACUGCCCGUACUAAGAUUGAUGUGUUUAAUGGAACUUUGACGAUGGAAUUUGAUGGGGAAGUUAUCAAUUUCAAUCUUUCUGAUUCUAUCAAGUAUCCUAGUGACGAUCACUCAUGCUUUUCUAUUUAUGUAUUUACUUCUUUGGCGCAAGACCAUUUUGAACAAUUGAAUGACGAUGCACUUGAAUUGGUCAUUGCACGAGGAAUAGACAUUCAAAACAAUGAAGCAGUAACCAUGCAUCCCCACGGCAUGAAUGAUUUUUCCCUUGCCCCCCUAAUGAAUACGUGAUUGAGAUGGUGGCUGCCCUCGAAUCAUUGCCGUUACAAUCUGGUAAGUUUUUGGACCCAAUUUCCAUUUCAGUUUUGGCUAAUAAGUUACUUCCUUCAGUUGUGCAGCCACCUACACUUGAACUUAAGCCAUUGCCAAGCCAUUUAAAGUACGUUUUCUUGGGCAAUGAUGAGACGUUGCCCGUCAUCAUCUCAAGCACACUGAUAGGAGCAUAUUUAUGCGACUGAGUUAGCUUGUUCUCAUGCAUUUAUGUUGUUAUUCCUUAGUUGUUUUAGUGUUUAAAGUCAUUUUUGUGCAAUUUCAGGUUCUAAGGACAAAGUAUGCAAAAAUGUGCAUUUUGGAGCCUUUUGGAGCAAUUUUGGGCUUGGAAUAAAUAUCACAUGCUUGGAACUAAAGGAAUGGACGAAAUUGAAGACCUAAAGAUGACGAUUCCUACUUGAAGUAGGAAAGUUAAGCCAAGGUUUCCUAUUUUGGUUUGAUCUUUCCUAAAUCCUAAAUGUCCCUAAGUUCCAGCAACAUUGAAGGUUUCACAUGCAUUUUAGGACACAAAUUAAGGGUUCCUUGUACCAUAACAAACCUUUGCCAUGCACUCCAUCCAUGUUUAAUUCUUGCAUUAAUCAUCAAUUCACUUUCACCUUUGAAUCAUUUCAACACCACUCCAUUUUACCCAUGCUUUGCAUCAUUACUUCACUUUCACCUUUCAAUCAUUUCAACACCACUCCAUUUUACCCAUGCUUUCAAAGCCAGGACUAUGUUUAUUGCAAUAUAAUUUGAUAAAUUCCAGUUAUGAACUCUUGAAUCAUGAAUGCAAUUGGCUUAACUAUUUGAUUGAUAACUUAUUUGUAUUUGUUGAUUAAGGGUCGACACUUAAUUGGCAUGCAUAAAUCCGAUGCUAGAAUAUAAGAAAGUUUCACAUAAUCGUUACAAACUUAUAUUCAUAAGUAGUGGAGGUCGCUUAUAAACGAUCGCGUUAAGUUCAAUUCCUAGCAUGAGUGACAUGAUGUCAUAGUUGCAAGUGCUUUGUCAAUGCUUAUGAUUUUCAUUAAACGUAAUGAUCUUUGAUUGUAUCUCUAUUAUGAUAUCAUGUAGGGAACUUUAGAAGAAUGUUUUGGGUUGUCGAAUGAUGUCAUCCAAUCCAAUAACAAGGAAAAUCUGAGAGUUAACUAGUGAUGUCAUGGUUAAUUUGGAGCAUUGUCAUUCAUAAUUCAAUGAAGUAGUAACUGGAAAUCGAGUUAUUUGCAUACAUGUCAUGUGUGGAGAAAAAGCCUCUAGCUAUCCCAUCCAUCAUCUUAUUUCUCAAAUUUGUUUUACAAUCUAUCUAGUUUUUCAUACUUGGUUGUUUGUUUCAACUUCGUCCAAAACUCAAUUCCCCUUUACUUCAGUGUGUCUAAUUAGUUAGAAUUUGUUUUAAUUUGUGUUUUUAAAUGUUUUGAUUCAAGUAAAAGUCAAUUUUCGUCUAAAGUCAUUCCUAGUGUCCAGUUUAAGUUUAUUUAGUUGUUUUAAGCUGUUUUGAGUAUUUUAAGUUUGCUUUGAGUCUUGUGAGUCUUGUUAAGUAUUUUUAAGCUUAGUUUUAUGUUUUUGAGUUAGUUUAGAGGUUAUUAGCAAGCCCUCCUAAUCCCCGGUCCAGAACGAUCCCUACUUAUACUUAUACUACAGUUGUCAAAAGAGGGUUAAAUUUGUGUGUUAAGUUAAUUUUCACAUCAAGUUUUUGGCGCCGUUGCCGGGGAUUAGCAACUUUGCUAAUAUCUUGUUAUGUCUUUUUGUUUAUUUUUGUGUCUUUUGUUUUUAGUUACUGAUUCUGUUUGUAUGUUUUUUUUUUUUUUUUUACUUUUGAUAUUUGAUUUAGUUUUGUUUCCUUGAUUUCAGAUACUAGAGAAGUAAGACAUGGAUUUUGCUACCAUUCAAGCUCAAUUGGCGGAACUUACUUCUCAAUUGUCACAAUAUGCCGAAAGGACCACAAUGCAAAGUGUCCCUACAUGUGGUGUGUCCUAUGGGCAAGGAUAUCCAACUCAGCAAUAUUCUCAAUUCGCUGCGAAUGAAGAUGAUUGGGGUUAUCAAGGCCAUAGCCAAUCAUGGGAUAACAUGUUUUCCAACGCUUACAAUUCGGAUUGGAGAGAUUAUUCAGAUUACAUAGAACCUCAACAAUUCCAACAAGAUGGAUAUUGGCAGCAAUCUGAGGAGUUUUAUUUAACACCUGUGCAGCCACCACAGCUUCCCCUACAACAAUUCCAAUCAAAUUCAAGUAUGUCCACAGAUAGUGAUCAAAAUUUUCAAUUACUAACCUCUUUGGUGCAGUGGCAGCAAAAUCAAAAUGAAACGAUGCUCAAUCAAUCUAAGGAGAUGAGCGAAUUGAAAAAUCAACUUGGAGAGAUUAUGGAGUUCACGACAUAAAUUUAAGAGCAAAGUGAACUCUCUAACUCAACUAUUGAAAAUUUGAAGGAAGAUUUUGAAAUUCAUGAUGCUAUCAGUUUGGGAAGUGCUAUGGAGGUUAGAGGUGAACCCAAGACAUCUAAACCAAGCCAAAACAUGGAUGAACAGCUGCUGCUCGAAGAAGAGGAGAAUAACAAGGCCACGGCAAGGGAAGAACCACCAUUGCUGCAGCCCCAUAUGCCCUCUAUAUCGUCCACUACAACCAAGGUAAGCCUAAAUUCAAUUCAUCAUGACCCCGUUUCACCAAAUGUCCUUAUUCAUUGCAAGAUCAUGCAAUCCAAGGAAGAAGAGGGUGAGAAAGGCAUCUUCAAAACCUUUCCAAAGAAUCAAGAGCAAGAAGUAGAUGGGGAAUGUCUAGAAUUCAUCAAAGAAGAUACACUUGAGACGAAAAUUCCCAAAGAAGUUGGAUUUUAUGACACGGGAAAAGUCAUAACUCUCAAAACACCAAAUCUGGCCAAGUCCCAUAUCCCUAAUGUGGUGUUCGUAAUUGAGUUUGUGUUGGAACAAGCAAGUAAGCCAUCUCUAACUUCAAUUUUAUUAUAUACUAACUUGCUGAUUUUGAUGAUUCAGGCACCUACACUAGAAUUUAAACCAUUGCCGGAUCACGUCAAGUAUCACCUUCCAUUCAAGGAUCAAUUUCAAGCUAUGGGCCCUAUCCAAGUUUAGAAGGAAGUUUCGUCUGGCUGGAAGACGUUAAAGCAAGCGCUUCUUGGGAGGCAACCCAUGUAUUCAAAUAGGGAAGAUUUUUGAAUUGCUCCACGAUUGGUUUUGCGUUCCUUAAAAACUUCCCUUUUCUGCAGUUUUAUUUUGCCAUGAUUGUCAUUUUUAUUUGUUACUUGUUUAAUUGUUUUUGGUGUGGGUUUAUUUUUGAAACAUUGACAGAUAUGCAAGGUAUUUUACAUUCAUUUUCAUAAAAAAAAAAGAACAUUAAGCAGAAAAAUACAAGAGAGAGCCUUCGCAAAGGCUGCUUAGGAGAAGUCUCAGUAGUCGGUAGAGCCUCAGCAGUCGGCAGAGCCCCAGAAGAAGAAGGCAUCAGAGGUUGAUCAUUUGGAGCUUCAUUACGCGGUACAACCCCAGAAGACGAAGGCAAAUGCUGUUGGAACAAACCCACAAACCUCUGAUGAUCAAGUAAAAUCUGACCAUCAGAUUCCUGCAUCUAGUCAAUCUUCAUCUUCAUGUUUGUAGCAUAGUUAUAUGCAAGCUUGUGCAACUGUUUAUUCUCAUGCUUGAGUCCUCUAAUCUCCUGUUUGAGACUCAUCACUUCAGCCGCCAAUGAUUCAACUUGACGGGUUCGAGCAUAGACGUUGGGCCAUAUUGGACACAGAACCUGCACACUGCACACUGAGAGCCAGAGAAUCCUUAACAACCAACUCAUCAAAUCGUUUGAAAAGUAGUCUGUUAUCUUUGGGAGUGACAAGAUUCCGGGCCACCACUGCAGCGGUCAUAUCAUUUUUCAUCACCGAAUCCCCAACGGUAAGAGGACCAGUAGGGGAUAUGAAGGAUGGGCGCCAUAUGUUGUCUGGAGAAGGCAUGGAUGCCUCUUCACCAAGGUUCAAGUCAAAACGACGGUCGGAGGGGCCAGACAUUUUCAAAGGUGUUGAAGAAAGAAGAGGUCGGACAAAUCGAGAUCUAAGAAAUGCAAUGAAAGGAAUUUCUACAGGCAGAAAUUCAAGUGUGCUUUGAAACGAACUGCGCGCCUCUAUAAAAAUCAACACUAGACGGGAUUUCAGAGAUCGAAGAGGCGAGCUCAGAAAUCGAAGAGGCCAAUUCAAAAAUCAAAGUGGCGCUAGGUUUCUUAAAAGCUGGGCUUGCUCAGAAACCACGGGCCAAUCUUCUUUUCCAGAUUUGUUUGAACUUGUCACAUGUAACCUCUGUACUCGACGGAGCUCAGAACUCGAAGAGGCAAGCUCAGAAAUCGGAGAGGCAUCUGCUUUUCUAGACGUGUCAGCAUCUGUCAUAUGCACACUCAGCUUGCGAAAAUCACGGGCAAUUUGUCGAAGCGCCGAUUUCAGAUAUUGAAGAGGCAUUUGCUUUUCCAGAUGUGUUAGCAUCUGUCACAUGCACACUCAGCCUUGCGGAAAUUACGGGCAAUCUGUCGAAGCGUAGAAAGCAUGUGAAGAUUACUAUUCAAUCAUCCAACGGUUGCCGACAAGAGUGAAAGAAUAGUACCAGUUAUUAAUUCAUAUAAAUGUCGACCUUCACCUACCAUUGCAAGGCAGACAUACAUAACCCUUCUUCAUCUCCGAGAAUGCUUUCCCAACAAAGCCUCUCGAGUCACUCAGUGUUCCUUAUUCCCUGGGAUACCUCUGCAAACAACCCAUCAAAAGCAAAAGUAUUUCAUAUCAUGAAGGUUGAAAGCAAGAGUAUCUCAUAUCAUGCUUUCUCCCUGUCCUUCUCCUUGUCGUUGUUUUCAUUUGCGGGACAAGGAGAAAGAGAGCAAUCAGCCAGCACUUGGUAUCAAUCUUCUGAUCUGGAACCGACUGCCUGGAACCCCUUCCUGAUUGCUUACCUAGCCUUGCUCUCGAGUACUCAUCUUCAACAUCUUAUGCUUCCGCUUCGUCUACCACUUCUACCUGGGGAACAUAUAAGGGAAGUGAAAAUGAUACAUCGAAGCAUGUAGAGACAAUGUGCUAAUUCAUCCUCAGCUAGGGACAAGGAGAAAGAAAGAAAAUAGUCGGCACUUGGAAAGAUUGAAGAAAGAAACAGACCAUCACCUCUACUUCGUGUCUGCCUGCCGUGCAGAAGAAACAAGCAGAGAAGAAUGCAGACUGCACAACCAAGGAACUCUGAUAUUCCUUACUCAAAAUUCCAAACCAGUUCGAGAUCAAAGCUGUGGAAAGUCAACAAAAUCAUCUAUCUCCAAAACCAGAUUUGCGUUCUUAAACUCUACUCUGUCUGGUUUUUACUUUGUUAUACUUGUCAUGUUUAUUCGUUGUUUGUUUGUUUGCUUGUUUUUGUGUGAGUUUAUGCUUGAAACAUUGAGGACAAUGUUUGAUUUAAGUGUGGGGGGUUAACCAAGUUGUUUUGCAUAAAAUUCGUAGGAGUUUAUCACCCAUUACUUCUAGUGUUGUUCCUUGCUGUUUGUAAGUUUUUAAAACUGUUUUGGAGUAUUUUAGUGUGUUUUGACAUAAAAAUCCAAAAGUCUCAUAAAAAUUUGAAAAAUUGUUUUGAAAACCCAAAAAGAGUUGUUUUUGUGUGUUUAUUUGUGUCUUAGGGUACCUUCCAACACAAUGAUGAGGAUUUGGUUUUUAAUUACAUGACUGUUAAAGAGAGUUAUAAACAUGGAUGAAAAUUUGAUUUACUCUCUGGUGUAUGCUUGGUUGUGGUUAUAAUUUAUGAAUUCACAUGCAAUCAUAAAGGAAAAAUCAGUUUUUGUAACAUGCUUGAAGGAAUGAACUUAAAUGAACGCUACAACCUUUUGAGACUUGAGCCUAAACGUUUAUUUGGAGAGUUAAUAAUUUGUGCAUCAUUAUUUUCUAAAGUCGUUGCAUGAUCUCAUUAUUCUUUGCUUGGUUGCUACUUAGAAGACGUUUCAUCAUUUAGUUCCAAAUGCUAGAACUCAUGCCAAUUUCAUUCAAAGCAUGCUAUUGAUUUGCAUAACAUAUAUUCAAGAUGAAGUUGUGUAGUGACCACCAAGGCCAAAUUGCCGUGCCCCUAUUUUAUUAUGUGUUUAAGUUUAACCCUGUUGAGCCUUGUUAAGCCUAUGUUCUUUGUUAAUCCACACUAUCCUUACCUAGCCUAGUUUUAGGACCAUCCAUACCCUUGUUCUUGAAGCAUAGUAAAGCAUGAUUUAAAAUGAACUCCUUUUUUUUAUCAAUGUAUUGCAGAAAGCAAGUGUGGGGGAAGUGAUUCUUGUGUGUGUAUGUGUGCCAAAGUCCUUAAUAAGGCACGGGUAGAAAAAAAAAAGAGUGAAAAGAAAAAAGUUUGUUAAAAAAGGGUCCAAAACAUUGAAUUUGGCCCUAAGUGUUGCAUGAAUCUUCCCUUUGUAUUUAAAAGUUGAUUCUGCAUUCUAAAGUGAAUUCCAAGUGUCUAUUUCAUUGCUUUGCUUGCUAUCGCUUUAAGAAUGUUUGUUAUUCCUAUCCUUUCUUUAUUAGCCAUUACCCCCAAGCCCCGUUACAACCCUUGACUUCAAUCUUGAGUGUUGUGUGUUUCAAUUCGUGGAGUUUGAAAUUGGUAUGAGCAUAUGGUGUCACUGGUUAUUGCAUCUAAGUAGUAGCAUUCCAUUCAUGAGAUCAUAUCUAAACAUGCUUAUUAACUCCAGAAAUUGCUUUCUUUGUUAUAACAUAUGUGAGUACUAGUCUUCCAUGUUUACAUCAUUCUGCUCACAUAUAACUAGUGUAGGGUGUGUAGUCAGAAAAUGUGUAUAAAAAUAGAGAGUAUCUUGUAAGGAAUUAAGCAAAUCCUCUAAGGCAUGUUACUACAUUCAAAAUAUCGUUUUAAUUGGUUAAUUGCGAACUAGUAAGUGGUGACUGUAAUUAAGUAUGUGCUCAAGUGUGAAGAUGACUAAAAGCUGUAGGAAUGAUGAUUUUUAACAUGUCAUGUGCAUUGGAAAUCCCUGAGGCAAAUGUUGGAAGGUUAAGUUGUGUUCUGUUUGUUUUGAUACGUUUGUUUCUUUUGUUUUGCUCGAGGACUAGCAAAAGCUAAGUGUGGGGGAAUUUGAUAGGAGCAUAUUUAUGCGACUGAGUUAGCUUGUUCUCAUGCAUUUAUGUUGUUAUUCCUUAGUUGUUUUAGUGUUUAAAGUCAUUUUUGUGUAAUUUCAGGUUCUAAGGACAAAGUAUGCAAAAAUGUGCAUUUUGGAGCCUUUUGGAGCAAUUUUGGGCUUGGAAUAAAUAUCACAUGCUUGGAACUAAAGGAAUGGACGAAAUUGAAGACCUAAAGAUGACGAUUCCUACUUGAAGUAGGAAAGUUAAGCCAAGGUUUCCUAUUUUGGUUUGAUCUUUCCUAAAUCCUAAAUGUCCCUAAGUUCCAGCAACAUCGAAGGUUUCACAUGCAUUUUAGGACACAAAUUAAGGGUUCCUAGUACCAUAACAAACCUUUGCCAUGCACUCCAUCCAUGUUUAAUUCUUGCAUUAAUCAUCAAUUCACUUUCAUCUUUGAAUCAUUUCAACACCACUCCAUUUUACCCAUGUUUUGCAUCAUUACUUCACUUUCACCUUUCAAUCAUUUCAACACCACUCCAUUUGUUACUUCACUUUCACCUUUCAACCAUUUCAACACCACUCCAUUUUACCCAUGCUUUGCAUCAUUACUUCACUUUCACCUUUCAAUCAUUUCAGCACCACUCCAUUUUACCCAUGCUUUCAAAGCCAGGACUAUGUUUAUUGCAAUAUAAUUUGAUAAAUUCCAGUUAUGAACUCUUGAAUCGUGAAUGCAAUUGGCUUAACUAUUUGAUUGA